UGAUGAUCAUGAUGAUUGAGGAAGGUUUACAUCAUUUUUUUACUCAAAACAGAAAUUUUAUAGAAUGUAAUCCAAGCCUUUCUUCAAAGACCUGUGGUAACUUCUGCCAUGGCCAUGAUGCUACAGAAGAUAAUUGUAAAGAUAGGAAGCAGAUAGAGUAUCAGGCAUUUAUAUCAUAAAACUAUAGUCUUGAAAAGGAGUAAAUUUUAGAAAAACAACACACAAUAUCUCAAUUUAUGCACAACUGAAAGGUUCAAUCAUGGUGGCUUCUUUAAUGGUGGAAUGAAUGGCUUCUCAAUGGUGGAAUGAAUGACUCCUUCAAUAAUUGAAAGAAUGGCUUCAAUGGUUGAAUAACUGGCUUCUUCACACUUCUUCAAUUUUCAAAGUAUGACUUUUUCAU